rnacentral:rRNA from 1 species
UACGUAGGGAGCAAGCGUUGUCCGGAAUUAUUGGGCGUAAAGCGCGCGCAGGCGGCCUCCUAAGUCCGAUGUGAAAGCCCACGGCUCAACCGUGGAGGGUCAUUGGAAACUGGGGGACUUGAGUGCAGGAGAGAAGAGUGGAAUUCCACGUGUAGCGGUGAAAUGCGUAGAGAUGUGGAGGAACACCAAUUGCGAAGGCAGCUCGCUGGGACGUAACUGACGCUGAGACGCGAAAGCGUGGGGAGCAAACAGG